GACGAACGCUGGCGGCGUGCUUAACACAUGCAAGUCGAACGCUGAAGCUCAGCUUUUGUUGGGUGGAUGAGUGGCGAACGGGUGAGUAACACGUGAGUAACCUGCCCCCUUCUUUGGGAUAACGCCCGGAAACGGGUGCUAAUACUGGAUAUUCACUGGUCUUCGCAUGGGGGUUGGUGGAAAGGGUUUUUCUGGUGGGGGAUGGGCUCGCGGCCUAUCAGCUUGUUGGUGGGGUGAUGGCCUACCAAGGCUUUGACGGGUAGCCGGCCUGAGAGGGUGACCGGUCACAUUGGGACUGAGAUAGGGCCCAGACUACUACGGGAGGCAGCAGUGGGGAAUAUUGCACAAUGGGCGCAAGCCUGGUGCAGCGACGCCGCGUGAGGGAUGGAGGCCUUCGGGUUGUGAACCUCUUUCGCUCAUGGUCAAGCCGCAACAAUGGUUGUGGUGAGGGUAGUGGGUAAAGAAGCGCCGGCUAACUACGUG
rnacentral:rRNA from 1 species